GAUGAACGCUGGCGGCGUGCCUAAUACAUGCAAGUCGAGCGAACAGACGAGGAGCUUGCUCCUCUGACGUUAGCGGCGGACGGGUGAGUAACACGUGGAUAACCUACCUAUAAGACUGGGAUAACUUCGGGAAACCGGAGCUAAUACCGGAUAAUAUAUUGAACCGCAUGGUUCAAUAGUGAAAGACGGUUUUGCUGUCACUUAUAGAUGGAUCCGCGCCUCAUUAGCUAGUUGUUAAGGUAACGGCUUACCAAGGCGACGUUGCGUAGCCGACCUGAGAGGGUGAUCGGCCACACUGGAACUGAGACACGGUCCAGACUCCUACGGGAGGCAGCAGUAGGGAAUCUUCCGCAAUGGGCGAAAGCCUGACGGAGCAACGCCGCGUGAGUGAUGAAGGUCUUCGGAUCGUAAAACUCUGUUAUUAGGGAAGAACAAAUGUGUAAGUAACUAUGCACGUCUUGACGGUACCUAAUCAGAAAGCCACGGCUAACUACGUG
rnacentral:rRNA from 1 species